UUAAAACCCAUCCAGGGCUCAACUCAUUUCCAUCGACCUUCUCAGAGCCUCUCUAUGUACAGUCUCCUUUUUGGAGAUCAGGAACUGCACGGACUGUGUUUCAUGGUUCAUACGAUGAUCUCCGGUUUUCCUUUCCAUACACCUCCUCAUACUUUUCAAGCCCAUCAUAGUAGCAGUCCUUUUCCCACUGACUAUUUAGUUUCUUUAAAAGCCUGUUGUGAAGGGUUUGGCAAGAGCUUGAACCACUUGUCAACUCACUCUCCUAGGAUUUUUCUAAUAGACUACAGGUGCCCAGUUUUCCUCUGCAUCUACCCUGUUGGCUUGUCUCUACCAUACGUCCAACAAGGAGUUUUUGUAUUUACUUUGAUCGGUUGCCCUGGUUCUGAAGCAAGAUUUAUUGGCCCAGAAUUGCCCCUCACUCCUUUCUUCAGGGCAAAAACACCAUCAGAUCAGAUUGAGCGUCUCCAGCCUCCCCUGGCCCGCACGAAAGCAUCCUGCUCCUGGAUCUGAAGCUGAAAGAGACCCCUCGGAUCACGUAAUCCAAGAGUCUGCCUAAGAAAAGCCACAGACCGCACCAGCAAUCCUUGUAUCAACCCCUGCAGUUGGUGCCAGGACCAGAUCGUGUCUCUUAGAAGGAUGCCAGCAUAAAGACCUCUGCAGUCUUGCGGUGCCUAAUUACCCUCGCUUUGGGCUGCCUUUAAGGGUUGAAAAAGUAGACUGCUGCCUACCCCAGAGAGAUGCAAGAAGCCACAAAAGAUGGAGUGUGGGAGAGUAACUUGACAAAUAUGCAACCCUUUGGAUGUCAGCAAUAGCCGUUUUCUGUUCAAAUUGGCAAACCAGCGGGCCUUGCUGUCAGAAGAGAGCAGGUGACAGGCAGCCCUUUCUGUUUUGGAGGAGUCGGUUUGUACUUGGUUGUGCAGACAUGCCUGCAAUUGCUUGUAUGCGUGUGUAUACGUGUACGUGUGUGUAAAUGUAACUGGACAGUAGUGGCCUCCAACGAGUGAGUGAAUCAACCGUCCGGAUUGAACGUCUUUGCCGCAAACAGAGUCGUCUCUCCCAGAGCUGAGUAUCGCUAAAGAGGCAAAAUCGUCUAAAGCCCUUCUUAGAUUUUGGGAAUCGGCCGUCGUAUUUCUAAUGGAUGGAUAAGACUCUUCUAGUCACGAACCUCCUUCCACCCAAAAUACUAUACAGGUACUCUGCUUAGCAUCGCUCCGGUUAACGUUGUUUCGUUAUUACGUCGCUGGUCUAUUGGAGAACAUACUCGUUUAAAGUCGCGCAAUGCCCGGUGAUGCUGUUGUUUGGCCGCCGCCUGCUAGUAGGUAACUGCUGUGAUGGGACUGGAUUUGCUUAACAUCAAAGUCGCGUUUUUCAAGGACGUAACUACGACGUUAAGCGAGGAGUAGCUGUAAUCCUACUUGUGAAGACGGACUUCUUCACAAGGAGGGUUUUCUUCAGCUGGAAAGGGAGUGACAUGAAGAAAACGUCGCCAGUUCGACUGCUUCGUUGGUGGAUACGUCCAAGUCUCUGCCCAACAAAAACUUGAUGCCGUCACGCAGUUGUUCAGGGAAUACAGAGAGCCUACAGAAGGACUGAUGUCCUGCAAGAUUGUCACAUGUCUCACGAUCAGUGACAGGUUGUGAAUGCUGGGCCAGCCCGUUGUAAGGAUUUGCCUCUAAAUAAGAAUGAAAGAAAAUGUCAGCUUUCAGUCUUUGUGACAGAUUUCAAGUCGAGAUUGUGCAAAGUGAGACGGGUUUCUCCAUGCCACUUCCACUGAUGUUGUUUGCUUCUGUUGCAAGUUGACUCCAGAGAUUUUGCUCUAUAGAGGAAAAAAAAAAGCUAGUACCAAAUGAAGUCUAUGCCACAGCACUGGCGAGCUGCUUUGGAAAGGCUUUUUCAUUUGACUAGGUUACACAGAAUGGAAAAAGACUUUUUCUCUGCACAGUUCAACACACAAACUCUAUUGUUGCCACAGUGGGAAACGUUUGGAGUCCAUGGAGAUCCUGGGGAAAUCCAGCCCGGUGAUGGAAGCACCGCUCAGAUGAAUUCUCUCUAGGAAAAUUCAUGGUUGGGCAAAAAUGUUCAAAAAUGUAGUUAUUUUAGAACAUGAUCCAGAAGUAAAUCGCUCCCUUGAAAUCCAUGGGGUGUUGUACGUGACUGCAGCUAGACACUGGCAACCCCCAAACCGGUGA